CUAGCUACAGGCUUAACACAUGCAAGUCGAGGGGCAGCAUGGUCUUAGCUUGCUAAGGCCGAUGGCGACCGGCGCACGGGUGAGUAACACGUAUCCAACCUGCCGUCUACUCUUGGACAGCCUUCUGAAAGGAAGAUUAAUACAAGAUGGCAUCAUGAGUCCGCAUGUUCACAUGAUUAAAGGUAUUCCGGUAGACGAUGGGGAUGCGUUCCAUUAGAUAGUAGGCGGGGUAACGGCCCACCUAGUCUUCGAUGGAUAGGGGUUCUGAGAGGAAGGUCCCCCACAUUGGAACUGAGACACGGUCCAAACUCCUACGGGAGGCAGCAGUGAGGAAUAUUGGUCAAUGGGCGAGAGCCUGAACCAGCCAAGUAGCGUGAAGGAUGACUGCCCUAUGGGUUGUAAACUUCUUUUAUAAAGGAAUAAAGUCGGGUAUGGAUACCCGUUUGCAUGUACUUUAUGAAUAAGGAUCGGCUAACUCCGUGCCAGCAGCCGCGGUAAUACGGAGGAUCCGAGCGUUAUCCGGAUUUAUUGGGUUUAAAGGGAGCGUAGAUGGAUGUUUAAGUCAGUUGUGAAAGUUUGCGGCUCAACCGUAAAAUUGCAGUUGAUACUGGAUAUCUUGAGUGCAGUUGAGGCAGGCGGAAUUCGUGGUGUAGCGGUGAAAUGCUUAGAUAUCACGAAGAACUCCGAUUGCGAAGGCAGCCUGCUAAGCUGCAACUGACAUUGAGGCUCGAAAGUGUGGGUAUCAAACAGGAUUAGAUACCCUGGUAGUCCACACGGUAAACGAUGAAUACUCGCUGUUUGCGAUAUACUGCAAGCGGCCAAGCGAAAGCGUUAAGUAUUCCACCUGGGGAGUACGCCGGCAACGGUGAAACUCAAGGGAAUUGACGGGGGCCCGCACAAGCGGAGGAACAUGUGGUUUAAUUCGAUAAUACGCGAGGAACCUUACCCGGGCUUAAAUUGCAGAUGAAUUACGGUGAAAGCCGUAAGCCGCAAGGCAUCUGUGAAGGUGCUGCAUGGUUGUCGUCAGCUCGUGCCGUGAGGUGUCGGCUUAAGUGCCAUAACGAGCGCAACCCUUGUUGUCAGUUACUAACAGGUUCCGCUGAGGACUCUGACAAGACUGCCAUCGUAAGAUGUGAGGAAGGUGGGGAUGACGUCAAAUCAGCACGGCCCUUACGUCCGGGGCUACACACGUGUUACAAUGGGGGGUACAGAGGGCCGCUACCACGCGAGUGGAUGCCAAUCCCCAAAACCUCUCUCAGUUCGGACUGGAGUCUGCAACCCGACUCCACGAAGCUGGAUUCGCUAGUAAUCGCGCAUCAGCCACGGCGCGGUGAAUACGUUCCCGGGCCUUGUACACACCGCCCGUCAAGCCAUGGGAGCCGGGGGUACCUGAAGUGCGUAACCGCGAGGAGCGCCCUAGGGUAAAACUGGUGACUGGGGCUAA
rnacentral:rRNA from 1 species